GAUGAACGCUGGCGGCGUGCCUAAUACAUGCAAGUCGAGCGAACAGACGAGGAGCUUUCUCCUCUGACGUUAUCGGCGGACGGGUGAGUAACACGUGGAUAACCUACCUAUAAGACUGGGAUAACAUCGGGAAACCGGAGCUAAGAACGGAUAAUAUAUUGAACCGCAUGGGUCAAUAGUGAAAGACGGUUUUGCGGUCACUAAAAGAUGGAUCAGCGCCGCAUUAGUUAGUUGGUAAGGUAACGGCUUACCAAGGCAACGAGGCGUAGCCGACCUGAACGGGUGGUUCCCUACCCUGUAACUGAGACACGGUCCCGACUCCUACGCGAGGCCGCAGUAGGGACUCUUCCGCAAUGGGCGAAUGCCUGACGGAGCAACGUCGCGUAAGUCCUGAAGGUCUUCGGCUCGUAAAGCGCUGUUAGCCUUGGAGUUCAAAUGCGUUUUUACCCAUGAACGUAUUGACGGUACCUAGUCAGAAAGCCCCGGCUAACUCCGUG
rnacentral:rRNA from 1 species